rnacentral:rRNA from 1 species
AUCGACGCUGGCGGCGUGCCUAACACAUGCAAGUCGAACGCGAAAGCCCCGCAAGGGGUAAGUAGAGUGGCAAACGGGUGAGUAACACGUGGGUGACCUGCCUUCGAGUGGGGGAUAACGUCCCGAAAGGGACGCUAAUACCGCAUGACAUCCUGCUUUUGAAAAAGCGGAGAUCAAAGCUGGGGAUCGCAAGACCUAGCGCUUGAAGAGGGGCCCGCGCCUGAUUAGCUAGUUGGUGAGGUAACGGCUCACCAAGGCGACGAUCAGUAUCCGGCCUGAGAGGGCGGACGGACACAAUGGGACUGAGACACGGCCCAGACUCCUACGGGAGGCAGCAGUGGGGAAUUGUUCGCAAUGGGCGCAAGCCUGACGACGCAACGCCGCGUGGAGGACGAAGAUCUUCGGGUCGUAAACUCCUGUCGAGCGGGACGAACGCUUCGCGGAUGAAUAAUCCGCGGAAUUGACGGUACCGCUAAAGGAAGCCCCGGCUAACUCCGUG